UGCGUAGACGGGAAGGUAAGUUAGUUGUGAAAUCCCUCGGCUCAACUGAGGAACUGCGACUAAAACUGCUUUUCUUGAGUGCUGGAGAGGAAAGUGGAAUUCCUAGUGUAGCGGUGAAAUGCGUAGAUAUUAGGAGGAACACCAGUGGCGAAGGCGACUUCCUGGACAGCAACUGACGUUAAGGCACGAAAGUGUGGGGAGCAAACA
rnacentral:rRNA from 1 species